AAGCCGGAAUUGCUAGUAAUGGCAGGUCAGCAUACUGCCGUGAAUACGUUCCCGGGCCUUGUACACACCGCCCGUCACACCAUGAGAGUUGGGAAUACCCGAAGCCUGUGAGCUAACGUUAAGAGGCAGCAGUCGAAGGUAGAAUCAAUGAUUGGGGUGAAGUCGUAACAAGGUAGC
rnacentral:rRNA from 1 species